ensembl:lncRNA
CUAAUUUCAUAUUUAAUUUUGAGGACCCGCACACACACACACACACACCACACACACACACAUACACACACAAGAAGAUAUAAUAUCUGCUUCUACAUCUUGUCACGUUAGCAUCGCCAGUAAAUUAAGCAUAAAACUGGUGUUUAUAUACCCUGAAUAUAUAUUUUUAUUUACUUACUGCAAUGCUAAUUUGUGGCGUAUUGUUUACUAUAAUGCUAGUUCAAGUGUUAGCUUCUUUACUAUAAUGCUAGUUAAAAUGUUAGCUUCUUUACUAUAAUGCUAGUUAUAGUGUUGACUUCUUUACUAUAAUGCUAGUUCAAGUGUUAGCUUCUUUACUAUAAUGCUAGUUAAAAUGUUAGCUUCUUUACUAUAAUGCUAGUUAUAGUGUUGACUUCUUUACUAUAAUGCUAGUUCAAGUGUUAAUCUGUUUACUAUAAUGCUAGUUCGUGUUAGCUUCUUUACUAUAAUGCUAGUUAUAGUUGUAAUCUGUUUACUAUAAUGCUAGUUCGUGUUAGCUUCUUUACUAUAAUGCUAGUUUAUAUGUUAGCUUCUUUACUAUAAUGCUAGUUCAAGUGUUAGCUUCUUUACUAUAAUGCUAGUUCAAAUGUUAGCUUCUUUACUAUAAUGCUAGUUCAGUGUUAGCUUCUUUACUAUAAUGCUAGUUCAAGUGUUAGCUUCUUUACUAUAAUGCUAGUUCAAAUGUUAGCUUCUUUACUAUAAUGCUAGUUCAAGUGUUAGCCUCUUUACUAUAAUGCUAGUUCAAGUGUUAAUCUGUUUACUUCACUGCUAGUUGAAGUGUUAGCUUCUUUACCAUAAUGCUAGUUCAAGUGUUAAAGAGCUAACUGUAAUGCUAGUUCAAGUGUUACUGAUUGCUAUAAUGCUAGUUAAUGGGUUAAAAUGAUAUCCACCGUGCUAGUUACUGUGUUAGCUAUUUCAGGAUUAUGCUAGUUCAGGUGUUAGCCUGAGGAGAAUAGCGCUCAGCAACAGGUUCAAAUCAUUACUAUAAUGCUAAUUACCGUGUUAGCUAGUUCAUGAUUUCGCGUGAACGUGUUUAACCCGUUCUGUACAGCGCUAGUUUGUGGGUUAGCCUGUAACCAGUUUGAUCAUAGCCUACUACAAAGAUGAAUCGCUUCUAUGUUUUGAUAAACAUUUGAUCUAGUUAGCUUAUUGUCAUUAAAAGGAGACAGGAAUAUCAACAUUUACCUCAGAUAUGUUGGGAGGAAGGAUACACUUUAAUCACACUUAGCAUCGACUGCGAACUGGAUUCCUGCGAGUGAUCACCUAGGUAACUCGUGUUUUUAAACCACGCUGCGUUACUAACUAGCUAUGCUAGUUUAUCUAACGUAUUUACGAUUGUACGAUUCUCCGUAACGCUUGAAAUCGAUAUAGACACUAAAUAAAAACCGUUUAAGGGAAUAAACGUUGAUUAGUUUAGACGAGGCGCACUUUCAGGAUCUGUGAGGACUACGUGACGCGAAUCGUAGAAUAAAUAAAUAAAGUGUCUUUCUUUCCACCUCUUUUAGCAUUUUUUUUUUGUAAACUGACAAGAAAUAGUAAUAUCAUGCUUGGAUAAGAGUUCUGACUCGAUGAAGUCGGACGUAUUUUUAUUACGAGAGCUUAAACGUCAGCGCACGCGGCGGUUAGCGUGCAUCGGAUUUAUGCUAACUCUCGGAAACGUGGCGUUUCGGCCUACGGAGUGACACGGCUCUCUUUUUCCAACUUAAACAGAUAACUGAGAGGGAAAUAAAAUUUAAAAGAUCUUUUAAAAAAAAAAAAAAAAAAAAAAAAAAAAAAAAGGACUUGAAGUAAGAUAAGUACUGUAUUUACAACCACUCUGCUGAAGCGCAAUCUCUCAACAGGCACCACAACACACACACACACACGAAUGAAACAGCGGCGUAGGGUUUAAAUAAGGCUGUCUGAAUUCGGUCUGAUAAAGAGCCGGUGGAACCCACGCCAUAAAUAAACGCUGGAGUUGCAUUUUAAGGUGAUAAAUAUUAUAGAGGCAAGCGGAACCGUAUUUAAAACGCCGCGCUCUGCGCUUCCCGCCGAGAGAUUAAGAUCCUUUCCGUUUAAAGAUAAUCAAUUGUUUUAUUUUAUUCGGCUCCAGCCGGGGCCUCCGUAACGGACUCUAAUAAACGCUGGAGAUCUGCGCGCCAUUAAUCUACAUGUUCUGGAAAUGUAGGCAAUUGUCAAAGUGCAGCCCGUGGAUAUUCCAUCACGCAUGCAAUUGGCUUUUCUCCUGCUGCACAAUUCAUUUGCGGCGUAAUGCGCCCAAUAAAAAUGUAUUCCGACCGCUCUAUUGAUUGUGAAAUAGCUUAAUCUCCAGCAGCAGAAAGAGAUGAAUAUGGCCAUUUUCUCCCGCGAGUACUGUUUUACUCCAUCCUCACAUGAAUUAUCGCUGCAGAGGGCUUAGUGCGAGAUCCUUAUUCUGCAUUGUGUGCGUGUGUGUGUGUGUUUUUCAUUGUUGUUGCGUAGCAGAGAUGAGAGAGACGUCUCGAACGCACUGCAUGAUGCUCUGAGGGAGUCAAAGUCACAGAGGCCUGACAGUGGAGUGUGUGUGUGAGUAGUGUGAAUUGUGUGUCAAGUAGUGUUGUGUGUGCUGAGUGGCCUGUCGUGUGUGCGGUUGUAUAGUGUGUGUGUAUAGAGUUUACAGUGUGUAUCGUGUGUGUGUAUAUACUGUGUGUAGGUUAGUGUAGUAGGUAGAGUCUGUAAAGUGUGUACACUGGUGUAAUGUAUAUAGUGUGUGUGUGUAGUGUAUAUUGAAUGGGGUAGUGUAUACAAUGUGUGUAGCGUAUAGUCGCAAACAAAGGUAUUCACCCCCCAGUGCAGAUCAAGUUUACUGUCGG